CUGAGCUGGAAGGGGAAGUCGCCACCUACAGGACAGCAAAUCUAAAAAUGUAUUUGGAUAAACUAUUAAACCAGGUAUUUUCACAAAAAGAACAAUCUGAGACACAGUGUGAGAUGGCACCCUGGACACCCACACACCCCAAUAAUCCCCCUUCAAAGAGCGAGCCACAUGGGAAGGGGAGAUUCCAGUGCGUCCAGAGGUCUGGGCAAAAAUAAAAAACAACACAAGGGACUCCAUGUUCGUGAAGGAGUUGGCUGUGGCCUUUUGAGGCACCGAAACCUUAGGGGAAAGGAGCCUGACUGGAAAGGAAUGCCCCACCAUCAAGACCACCAGGCAGCCUCUAACCCCGCAGAAGCUAUCGGUUUUGAAAGUUUGCUUCAAGCAGUGGCUGUAAUAAAGACGUGGAGGACCAAGAAAUGCUGGCCAUAUUGGCAAAGACCAGAAGAUACAUAACAGAGAAG